rnacentral:lncRNA from 1 species
AAAACCUAACAUUUUCUUUUUGUAGGGGGAAGGCUCAGGAAGUCCUGGAGGAAAAAAAAUGAAUUGGGAAGAUUACUUCAUAGCAAACCAAAGGGAUUGACUAAUGGAGGCCAGUGGUGUGACCAUCUUCUAGGACUGGUGCCCAAGACCUUUCCUUCAAGAACCUCCUGUGAGGGGAAGAGUGAAGAAUACACUCAGGCAAGUCAUUUGUACUGAAACCAUCUUCCUUUCUCUCAACUCCAG